UUUUAUGUGAUGGUUGUGAAAGACCCCCUGAGCAGGGAGACCCUCACUCAAGUCUCGGGAUGAUGCGACCCCCCCAAGAACUCACGUGAGACC
rnacentral:pre_miRNA from 14 species